ACCCGCUGAACUUAAGCAUAUCAAUAAGCGGAGGAAAAGAAACUAACAAGGAUUCCCUUAGUAACGGCGAGUGAACCGGGAAGAGCUCAAAUUUGUAAUCUGGCGUCCUUCGGGCGUCCGAGUUGUAAUCUAUAGAGGUGUUUUCCGCGCCGGACCACGUUUAAGUCUCCUGGAACGGAGUAUCAAAGAGGGUGACAAUCCCGUACUUGACGUGACGACCGGUGCUAUGUGAUACACUCUCAACGAGUCGAGUUGUUUGGGAAUGCAGCUCUAAAUGGGUGGUAAAUUCCAUCUAAGGCUAAAUAUUGGCGAGAGACCGAUAGCGAACAAGUACCGUGAGGGAAAGAUGAAAAGCACUUUGGAAAGAGAGUUAAACAGCACGUGAAAUUGUUAAAAGGGAAACGAUUGAAGUCAGUCGCGCACUUGGUAUUCAGCCGUCUCUGACGGUGUAUUUGCCUUGUGCGGGUCAACAUCAGUUCUGAUCGGCGGAAAAGGGCUGGAAGAAGGUGGCACCCUCGGGUGUGUUAUAGCUUCCUGUCGUAUACGUCGGUUGGGACUGAGGAAUGCAGCUUGCCGCAAGGCCGGGGUUCGCCCACGUUCAAGCUUAGGAUGUUGACAUAAUGGCUUU
rnacentral:rRNA from 1 species